GCUCAAGUGGUGAAAUUGGUAGACACGUACGAUUCAGGUUCGUAUGCUUCACGGCAUGAGGGUUCGAGUCCCUCCUUGAGCACCA
rnacentral:tRNA from 1 species